UACGUAGGGGGCAAGCGUUGUCCGGAUUUAUUGGGCGUAAAGAGCGUGUAGGCGGCCAAGCAGGUCCGCUGUGAAAACUCGAGGCUCAACCUCGAGACGUCGGUGGAAACCGUUUGGCUAGAGUCCGGAAGAGGAGAGUGGAAUUCCCGGUGUAGCGGUGAAAUGCGCAGAUAUCGGGAAGAACACCCGUGGCGAAGGCGGCUCUCUGGGACGGGUACUGACGCGUGAGACGCGAAAGCGUGGGGAGCGAACGAGG
rnacentral:rRNA from 1 species